AUGCAUUUUAGUUUACUAGCUAACGUGCGGAAUCGUGUAACCACUGUGGCUUCUGUCGAGCUUGCUUCCGUUUUGUCUUUGUUGCGGGAUGAUCAAGUCAACGACGCGCCCGACGAUAGGUUCCUUACCCAUGGCUCCGCGUUCUCCUCGAGGUUCGCCUACUCGUUGCUCUCCUCCGACCAUGAGAUUGAUCUCAAUGCAGGGCAUAUCUGGAGCUCCAAGGCACCCAUCAAGGUCAAGAUCUUCGGUUGGCUUCUGUGGCAUGACAGGGUGAGUACGAAGGCCAACUUGCUACGUAAAAUCAUCUCCUCGGACUGCUCUUGCCCUCGGUGCUCCCACGCAAGGGAGGACGCGACUCACCUCGCCAUCCUUUGCCCCUAUGCAACACGGAUUUGGUCCAUUUUGGGCCUCCAGACUCCUCGCUCCAUCGACCAUAUUUGGGACAAUCCUACGCCGGUUGGCCUCGAUAUAAACAUUUGGCCUACCGUCGCCCUCGCCAUCCUGUGAAAGUUGUGGGACUCUAGGAACGCUCUUGUUUUUCGUAACGAGCUUCACUCCCCCUUGAUACCCUUUGUAACAUUGUUUUGGACUUUACUCUUCGAGUCUUUAGAUUUAAGGACCCUGUCAGUAGGGAGGCACCCGUGUCUUGGCGCCUUUGCCUGUCCUCACACUGUAAUUUAUGAUGUAACUCGCCCCUUGGGCAUUUGA
rnacentral:rRNA from 1 species